UCCUACGGGAGGCAGCAGUAGGGAAUCUUCCGCAAUGGACGAAAGUCUGACGGAGCAACGCCGCGUGAGUGAUGAAGGCUUUCGGGUCGUAAAACUCUGUUGUUAGGGAAGAACAAGUGCUAGUUGAAUAAGCUGGCACCUUGACGGUACCUAACCAGAAAGCCACGGCUAACUACGUGCCAGCAGCCGCGGUAAUACGUAGGUGGCAAGCGUUAUCCGGAAUUAUUGGGCGUAAAGCGCGCGCAGGUGGUUUCUUAAGUCUGAUGUGAAAGCCCACGGCUCAACCGUGGAAGGUCAUUGGAAACUGGGAGACUUGAGUGCAGAAGAGGAAAGUGGAAUUCCAUGUGUAGCGGUGAAAUGCGUAGAGAUAUGGAGGAACACCAGUGGCGAAGGCGACUUUCUGGUCUGUAACUGACACUGAGGCGCGAAAGCGUGGGGAGCAAACAGGAUUAGAUACCCUGGUAGUCCACGCCGUAAACGAUGAGUGCUAAGUGUUAGAGGGUUUCCGCCCUUUAGUGCUGAAGUUAACGCAUUAAGCACUCCGCCUGGGGAGUACGGCCGCAAGGCUGAAACUCAAAGGAAUUGACGGA
rnacentral:rRNA from 1 species